GAUGAACGCUCGCUACAGGCUUAACACAUGCGAGUCGCGGGGCAGCAUGGGGGUUGCUUGCAAUCCCCGAUGGCGACCGGCGCACGGGUGAGUAACGCGUAUCCAACCUGCCCUUCACCACGGGAUAACCCGGCGAAAGUCGGACUAAUACCGUAUGUUGUCCAUUGACGGCAUCCGAUUUGGACGAAAGGUUUGGCGGUGAAGGAUGGGGAUGCGUCCGAUUAGCUGGACGGCGGGGUGACGGCCCACCGUGGCGACGAUCGGUAGGGGUUCUGAGAGGAAGGUCCCCCACACUGGAACUGAGACACGGUCCAGACUCCUACGGGAGGCAGCAGUGAGGAAUAUUGGUCAAUGGGCGUAAGCCUGAACCAGCCAAGUAGCGUGCAGGAGGACGGCCCUAUGGGUUGUAAACUGCUUUUAUGCGGGGAUAAAGUGGCCCACGUGUGGGUUUUUGCAGGUACCGCAUGAAUAAGGACCGGCUAAUUCCGUG
rnacentral:rRNA from 1 species